GUGGAUUCACACACAGGAGAGGCCCUUCUGCUGCCCUGAGUGUGGGAAGGGCUUCAAGCACAACUCCAGCCUCGUCACCCACAGGCACAUCCACACCGGGGAGAGGCCCAGUGAAUCUUCAAGUGAUGCAGUCAAAGAAUCUCAAAACGCCUUCACAUUGUUUGCUGGAAUCCACUUGGAACCAUUCUCUGUGGACAUGCAAGCAAAACCUCUACCCCAGCCUGGUCAGAGAGAAAGCCAGGUAAACUUUCCUAGGUAUUGUUCUGGGGAGUUUUGAGAAGGCUGAGAGAAAGAAUUAAAGCAAUCUUGCAGCUGGUGUUUUGAACAGUUGUUUUCUUAUAAGAUGUUUAAUAAAGGGUGUUUCCUUAAUUAGCCAAUCAUGUGAGGUGUGUUGAUUAAAGGACCAGUCAGGUCUACCGGUGUUGGAGCAGUGUAUAAAAAGAAAUGUGUUCCUAAUAAAAUUAGUAUUAGUCUC